rnacentral:rRNA from 1 species
GAUGAACGCUGGCGGCGUGCCUAAUACAUGCAAGUCGAGCGAACGGACGAGAAGCUUGCUUUUCUGAUGUUAGCGGCGGACGGGUGAGUAACACGUGGAUAACCUACCUAUAAGACUGGGAUAACUUCGGGAAACCGGAGCUAAUACCGGAUAAUAUUUUGAACCGCAUGGUUAAAAAGUGAAAGACGGUCUUGCUGUCACUUAUAGAUGGAUCCGCGCUGCAUUAGCUAGUUGGUAAGGUAACGGCUUACCAAGGCAACGAUGCAUAGCCGACCUGAGAGGGUGAUCGGCCACACUGGAACUGAGACACGGUCCAGACUCCUACGGGAGGCAGCAGUAGGGAAUCUUCCGCAAUGGGCGAAAGCCUGACGGAGCAACGCCGCGUGAGUGAUGAAGGUCUUCGGAUCGUAAAACUCUGUUAUUAGGGAAGAGCAUAUGUGUAAGUAACUGUGCACAUCUUGACGGUACCUAAUCAGAAAGCCACGGCUAACUACGUG